rnacentral:rRNA from 1 species
GACGAACGCUGGCGGCGUGCCUAAUACAUGCAAGUCGAGCGGACCACUUCGGUGGUCAGCGGCGGACGGGUGAGUAACACGUGGGCAACCUGCCUGUAAGACUGGGAUAACACCGGGAAACCGGUGCUAAUACCGGAUAAUCCUUUCCUUCACAUGAAGGGAAGCUGAAAGACGGUUUCGACUGUCACUUACAGAUGGGCCCGCGGCGCAUUAGCUAGUUGGUGAGGUAACGGCUCACCAAGGCAACGAUGCGUAGCCGACCUGAGAGGGUGAUCGGCCACACUGGGACUGAGACACGGCCCAGACUCCUACGGGAGGCAGCAGUAGGGAAUCUUCCGCAAUGGACGAAAGUCUGACGGAGCAACGCCGCGUGAGCGAUGAAGGCCUUCGGGUCGUAAAGCUCUGUUGUCAGGGAAGAACAAGUACCGGAGUAACUGCCGGUACCUUGACGGUACCUGACCAGAAAGCCACGGCUAACUACGUGCCAGCCGCCGCGGUAA